GUCCGUCGUGAAGAGGGAAACAACCCAGACCGCCAGCUAAGGUCCCAAAGUCAUGGUUAAGUGGGAAACGAUGUGGGAAGGCCCAGACAGCCAGGAUGUUGGCUUAGAAGCAGCCAUCAUUUAAAGAAAGCGUAAUAGCUCACUGGUCGAGUCGGCCUGCGCGGAAGAUGUAACGGGGCUAAACCAUGCACCGAAGCUGCGGCAGCGAACGUAUCACUUAAAGCGAUUCAGCGGGUUACGAUUGACGGAGCGAAGCGACGUCAAAGCGUAUACAAAGUCGAGUCGGUUUAAGGAUACGUUCGUUGGGUAGGGGAGCGUUCUGUAAGCCUGCGAAGGUGGCCUGUGAGGGUUGCUGGAGGUAUCAGAAGUGCGAAUGCUGACAUAAGUAACGAUAAAGCGGGUGAAAAGCCCGCUCGCCGGAAGACCAAGGGUUCCUGUCCAACGUUAAUCGGGGCAGGGUGAGUCGACCCCUAAGGCGAGGCCGAAAGGCGUAGUCGAUGGGAAACGGGUUAAUAUUCCCGUACU
rnacentral:rRNA from 1 species